UACAGAGGUCUCAAGCGUUGUUCGGAUUCAUUGGGCGUAAAGGGUGCGUAGGCGGCGGGGUAAGUCAGGUGUGAAAUCUCGGAGCUCAACUCCGAAACUGCAUUUGAUACUGCCUUGCUUGAGUAUUGGAGAGGAGAUUGGAAUUUACGGUGUAGCAGUGAAAUGCGUAGAUAUCGUAAGGAAGACCAGUGGCGAAGGCGGGUCUCUGGACAGUUCCUGACGCUGAGGCGCGAAAGCCAGGGGAGCAAACGGG
rnacentral:rRNA from 1 species